rnacentral:rRNA from 1 species
GAAAGACCAGAAAAGA